rnacentral:lncRNA from 1 species
UUUGAAAUUUUUGGGGGUGUUUCUGACGUAUUUGGUCGAUGACGAUUCCGAUCUAAAUCGGAUGUUGAUCUGAGACUUUCAUCGUGAUAUCUGGGUAUAUCUUCUUCACUCGAACGUUUUGGGUGAUUUUCCGGUGACUUUUGCGUGAUUUCCUGGUGACUCUCCAGAUUCUAGGGUUUCUGGAGGUACCUAGGGUUUUACUGCUAUCCGG